rnacentral:siRNA from 1 species
UAAGGUCUAUGACGGGAGGUAC